rnacentral:tRNA from 1 species
AUUUAUAUAGUUUAACAAAAACAUUACAUUUUCACUGUAAAGAUAAAGAAAACUUUUAUAAAUA